rnacentral:rRNA from 1 species
AACAGGAUUAGAUACCCUGGUAGUCCACGCCGUAAACGAUGUCUACUAGCUGUUCGUGACCUUGUGUCGUGAGUAGCGCAGCUAACGCAUUAAGUAGACCGCCUGGGGAGUACGGUCGCAAGAUUAAAACUCAAAUGAAUUGACGGGGGCCCGCACAAGCGGUGGAGCAUGUGGUUUAAUUCGACGCAACGCGAAGAACCUUACCUACUCUUGACAUCUACAGAACUUAGCAGAGAUGCUUUGGUGCCUUCGGGAACUGUAAGACAGGUGCUGCAUGGCUGUCGUCAGCUCGUGUUGUGAAAUGUUGGGUUAAGUCCCGCAACGAGCGCAACCCUUAUCCUUAGUUGCCAGCACGUAAUGGUGGGAACUCUAGGGAGACUGCCGGUGAUAAACCGGAGGAAGGUGGGGACGACGUCAAGUCAUCAUGGCCCUUACGAGUAGGGCUACACACGUGCUACAAUGGUAUGUACAGAGGGAGGCAAGCCUGCGAGGGUGAGCGGAUCUCUUAAAGCUUAUCGUAGUCCGGAUCGCAGUCUGCAACUCGACUGCGUGAAGUCGGAAUCGCUAGUAAUCGCAAAUCAGAAUGUUGCGGUGAAUACGUUCCCGGGCCUUGUACACACCGCCCGUCACACCAUGGGAGUGGGUUGCAAAAGAAGUAGGUAGCUUAACCUUCGGGAGGGCGCUUACCACUUUGUGAUUCAUGACUGGGGUGAAGUCGUAACAAGGUAACC